CUGUCAGCUCUGCACUGGGGUAUUCAAAGACAAGGCAGCUGAUCAUGAGGGCUGCUUCUGCGUAUGGGAGCCCUCCAGGAGAGGGAACUGGCUGAAAGUAGCAAGCCACGAGGAGGACUCAGGAAUGUUUUGGUUUUUAAGAAGUUCACUCUCUCCAAGAUUACAGAUUUAUGGAGGACGUCCCUCUUUAUCCCUACUAAAUGGGCAAAGAGGCACAUUUUCAACUGAUGGUUCUCUAAUAUACAGCAGGGCAAGAACAACUGACCCAGCAUAGUGUCUCUCCAGCGACUGUGCUGGUGCCUCUUUUAUGGUUUUUGUUUGUUUUGCUUUAGAUUGUGAGCCCUCUGGGGACAGAGCACGCCCUUCUAUUUUGUUUUGCUAUGUAAACUAUUUUGAGAACUUGGUGUAUAUAUUAAUAUCGGCAGUAAAUAAAUAAAUAACUCUGCCAAUUACUACUCAA